AUUGAACGCUGGCGGCAUGCUUUACACAUGCAAGUCGAACGGUAACAGGGAGCUUGCUCCGCUGACGAGUGGCGAACGGGUGAGUAAUAUAUCGGAACGUACCCAAGAGUGGGGGAUAACGUAGCGAAAGUUACGCUAAUACCGCAUACGAUCUAAGGAUGAAAGCAGGGGACCUUCGGGCCUUGUGCUCCUGGAGCGGCCGAUAUCUGAUUAGCUAGUUGGUGAGGUAAAGGCUCACCAAGGCGACGAUCAGUAGCUGGUCUGAGAGGACGACCAGCCACACUGGAACUGAGACACGGUCCAGACUCCUACGGGAGGCAGCAGUGGGGAAUUUUGGACAAUGGGCGCAAGCCUGAUCCAGCAAUGCCGCGUGAGUGAAGAAGGCCUUCGGGUUGUAAAGCCCUUUUGUCAGGGAAGAAACGGGAUUGGCUAAUAUCCAGUCCUAAUGACGGUACCUGAAGAAUAAGCACCGGCUAACUACGUG
rnacentral:rRNA from 1 species